rnacentral:rRNA from 1 species
AUUGAACGCUGGCGGCAUGCCUUACACAUGCAAGUCGAACGGCAGCGGACCUUCGGGUGCCGGCGAGUGGCGAACGGGUGAGUAAUGCAUCGGAACGUGCCAUUGAGUGGGGGGAUAACGUAGCGAAAGUUGCGCUAAUACCGCAUAUUCUGUGAGCAGGAAAGCAGGGGACCGCAAGGCCUUGCGCUCUUUGAGCGGCCGAUGUCAGAUUAGCUAGUUGGUGAGGUAACGGCUUACCAAGGCGACGAUCUGUAGCGGGUCUGAGAGGAUGAUCCGCCACACUGGAACUGAGACACGGUCCAGACUCCUACGGGAGGCAGCAGUGGGGAAUUUUGGACAAUGGGGGCAACCCUGAUCCAGCCAUGCCGCGUGAGUGAAGAAGGCCUCGGGUUGUAAAGCUCUUUCGGUCCGGGAAGAAAUCGCAUGGGUUAAUACCCUGUGUGGAUGACGGUACCGGC